rnacentral:siRNA from 1 species
GGGUCGAUGCCCGAGCGGU